CGAAUGGCUAGCUUUGGUCCCGAAGGUUCGCGCGGGACAGGGGAGAGACAUGCGGGUGACCCGGCUGUGUAACGGGGGAUACUCCGGGAAAACUCAGGUUAUAACGGAUAAUUCCCUGAACCGCAAGGUUCGGGGUCUACAGACCGUUCCCUCUGUCACUUACUUAUGGACCAGUAGCUGGUUGGCGAGGUGGCGGGUCACUGGCUCAACAAUGCGACGAUGCGUAGACAAGAUGAUAGGGCGAUCGGGCACUGAGACACUGACACACCUCCUACAGUCCUACGGGAGGGGGAAUUUUGGAAUCUUCCGCAAUGCAUGAAAGUCUGAUGCAGCGUGUGUGCGUGAGGGACUAAGGUUUUCAGAUCCUUUCGCUCUGUUGUAAGGGAAGAACAAGUGCAACAGUAACUGCUCACAUCUUGCCGGUACCAAGCCCCAGAUACCUCGGUGACUACAUGCCCGCAACCACGGAAGUAGCGAGGUGGCAUCCGAUUUCCUGAAUUAUUGGGGGGAAAGGGCUCGUUGGUGGUUUCUUUGUGCAGAUGCCAGGCUCCCCCGGUCAACCGGAUAGGGACAUUGCAAGCUGGAAUGCUUGAGAGCAAAGUAGAAUUCCGG
rnacentral:rRNA from 1 species